GUCCAGGGAGGGCGUGUGGCAUGUGUGUGCUGGGAUUCUUCUGCUACAGACCUGGCGGAAGGAUGACUGGGAUAUACUGUACAUGGGAGUUCAUACGCUUGCAGAUAUUGGCACAGCUGAAUGUUGAAGACAUGUAGAUUUAAACAUGGAAUUCAAUCCUUCAGACCAUCCUCGGGCCAGCACAAUAUUCCUCAGCAAAUCUCAGACAGACGUGAGAGAAAAACGAAAGAGUCUCUUCAUUAACCAUCAUCCUCCAGGGCAGACAUCAAGGAAAUACAGUUCCUGCUCCACCAUCUUUCUAGACGACAGCACAGUCAGCCAGCCAAACCUCAAGUACACCAUCAAAUGUGUAGCUCUUGCGAUAUAUUACCACAUCAAAAACAGGGACCCAGAUGGAAGGAUGCUCUUAGAUAUUUUUGAUGAA
rnacentral:lncRNA from 1 species